UACAGGGGGGGCAAGCGUUGUUCGGAAUUACUGGGCGUAAAGGGCUCGUAGGUGGCCAACUAAGUCAGACGUGAAAUCCCUCAGCUUAACUGGGGAACUGCGUCUGAUACUGGAUGGCUUGAGUUUGGGAGAGGGAUGCGGAAUUCCAGGUGUAGCGGUGAAAUGCGUAGAUAUCUGGAGGAACACCGGUGGCGAAGGCUGCAUCCUGGAUCAACACUGACACUGAGGAGCGAAAGCCAGGGGAGCAAACGGG
rnacentral:rRNA from 1 species